rnacentral:rRNA from 1 species
CAAGUCGAACGGUAACAUAAAGAAGCUUGCUUCUUUGAUGACGAGUGGCGGACGGGUGAGUAAUGCUUGGGAAUCUGGCUUAUGGAGGGGGAUAACUACGGGAAACUGUAGCUAAUACCGCGUAGAAUCGGGAGAUGAAAGUGUGGGACCUUCGGGCCACAUGCCAUAGGAUGAGCCCAAGUGGGAUUAGGUAGUUGGUGAGGUAAAGGCUCACCAAGCCGACGAUCUCUAGCUGGUCUGAGAGGAUGACCAGCCACACUGGGACUGAGACACGGCCCACACUCCUACGGGAGGCAGCAGUGGGGAAUAUUGCGCAAUGGGGGCAACCCUGACGCAGCCAUGCCGCGUGAAUGAAGAAGGCCUUCGGGUUGUAAAGUUCUUUCGGUAGCGAGGAAGGCAUUUAGUUUAAUAGACUAGGUGAUUGACGUUAACUACAGAAGAAGCACCGGCUAACUCCGUGCCAGCAGCCGCGGUAAUACGGAGGGUGCGAGCGUUAAUCGGAAUAACUGGGCGUAAAGGGCACGCAGGCGGUGACUUAAGUGAGGUGUGAAAGCCCCGGGCUUAACCUGGGAAUUGCAUUUCAUACUGGGUCGCUAGAGUACUUUAGGGAGGGGUAGAAUUCCACGUGUAGCGGUGAAAUGCGUAGAGAUGUGGAGGAAUACCGAAGGCGAAGGCAGCCCCUUGGGAAUGUACUGACGCUCAUGUGCGAAAGCGUGGGGAGCAAACAGGAUUAGAUACCCUGGUAGUCCCACGCUGUAAACGAUGUCGAUUUGGGGGUUGCACUUUAAGUUUGGCGCCCGUAGCUAACGUGAUA